rnacentral:rRNA from 1 species
UACGUAGGGUGCAAGCGUUGUUCGGAUUUACUGGGCGUAAAGCGCACGUAGGCGGAUUGGUCAGUUAGGGGUGAAAUCCUGGAGCUCAACUCCAGAACUGCCUUUGAUACUGGCGAUCUCGAGUUCGGGAGAGGUGAGUGGAACUGCGAGUGUAGAGGUGAAAUUCGUAGAUAUUCGCAAGAACACCAGUGGCGAAGGCGGCUCACUGGCCCGAUACUGACGCUGAGGUGCGAAAGCGUGGGGAGCAAACAGGG